rnacentral:tRNA from 1 species
GGGCUCAGUGGUGGAGCCUCUGCUUGGCAUACGGAAGCUCCCGGGUUCGAUCCCCGGCAUCUCCA